GAUGAACGCUGGCGGCGUGCUUAACACAUGCAAGUCGAGCGGAAAGACCCUGCUUUUUUUUUGUGCUCGAGUGGCGAACGGGUGAGUAACACGUGAGUAACCUGCCCUUGACUUUGGGAUAACUUCAGGAAACUGGGGCUAAUACCGCAUAGGAGCUCCUGCUGCAUGGUGGGGGUUGGAAAGUUUCGGCGGUUGGGGAUGGACUCGCGGCUUAUCAGCUUGUUGGUGGAGUAGUUGCUUACCAAUGCUUUGACGGGUAGCCUGCCUGAGAGGGUUACCGGCGACAUUGGGACUGAGGUACGCACCAGAAGGGUAAGGGAGGCAGCAGUGGGGAACAUUGCACAACGGGCGCAAGCCUGAUGAAGCAACCCCGCGUGCGGGAUGACGGCCUUCGGGUUGUAAACCGCUUUCGACUGUGACGAAGCGUGAGUGACGGUAAUGGGUAAAGAAGCACCGGCUAACUACGUG
rnacentral:rRNA from 1 species